rnacentral:lncRNA from 1 species
UUUGCAAGACAAUGGACAAAUGGUUCUUACUUCAAUGGGUAGAGAAAGAACUUGUCUUGUUAAAGAAUGGGAACCAUAACCCCACUUUGUAACUCUAGGAGUUACAUAACCCAAGAGACAAGAGUUACAAGACAAGAGUUAUGUCUUGAGUUAUGUCUUGCAAGAGUUACAUAACUCUAGAGUCACAAGCAUGUAACCAUGGUUACAUAUAUGUAACCUUAGUUAGCCCAUCAUUACUAAGGUUACCAUUUUGGGUAUCUACACAUUAGUCCUACACUUGAUAUGACAAUACAUUGGCCCCCUUAACAUAAUGUCUAUAAGACCAC